rnacentral:rRNA from 1 species
AGAGUUUGAUCCUGGCUCAGAUUGAACGCUGGCGGCAUGCCUUACACAUGCAAGUCGAACGGCAGCACGGGUGCUUGCACCUGGUGGCGAGUGGCGAACGGGUGAGUAAUAUAUCGGAACGUACCUUAUCGUGGGGGAUAACGCAGCGAAAGCUGCGCUAAUACCGCAUACGCCCUGAGGGGGAAAGCGGGGGACCGUAAGGCCUCGCGCGAUUAGAGCGGCCGAUAUCUGAUUAGCUUGUUGGUGGGGUAAAAGCCCACCAAGGCGACGAUCAGUAGCUGGUCUGAGAGGACGAUCAGCCACACUGGGACUGAGACACGGCCCAGACUCCUACGGGAGGCAGCAGUGGGGAAUUUUGGACAAUGGGGGCAACCCUGAUCCAGCAAUGCCGCGUGAGUGAAGAAGGCCUUCGGGUUGUAAAGCUCUUUUGUCAGGGAAGAAACAGCAGCUCUAACACAGUCUGCGAAUGACGGUACCUGAAGAAUA